UGGGGAAUAUUGCACAAUGGGCGCAAGCCUGAUGCAGCCAUGCCGCGUGUAUGAAGAAGGCCUUCGGGUUGUAAAGUACUUUCAGUCGGGAGGAAGGUGUCAAGGUUAAUAACCUUGGCAAUUGACGUUACCGACAGAAGAAGCACCGGCUAACUCCGUGCCAGCAGCCGCGGUAAUACGGAGGGUGCAAGCGUUGAUCGGAAUUACUGGGCGUAAAGCGCACGCAGGCGGUUGAUUGAGUCAGAUGUGAAAUCCCCGGGCUUAACCCGGGAAUUGCAUCUGAUACUGGUCAGCUAGAGUCUUGUAGAGGGGGGUAGAAUUCCAUGUGUAGCGGUGAAAUGCGUAGAGAUGUGGAGGAAUACCGGUGGCGAAGGCGGCCCCCUGGACAAAGACUGACGCUCAGGUGCGAAAGCGUGGGGAGCAAACAGG
rnacentral:rRNA from 1 species